GAUGAACGCUAGCGGGAGGCCUAACACAUGCAAGCCGAGCGGUAUUGUUUCUUCGGAAAUGAGAGAGCGGCGUACGGGUGCGUAACACGUGUGCAACCUGCCUUUAUCUGGGGGAUAGCCUUUCGAAAGGAAGAUUAAUACUCCAUAAUAUAUUGAACGGCAUCGUUUAAUAUUGAAAGCUCCGGCGGAUAGAGAUGGGCACGCGAAAGAUUAGCUAGUUGGUGCGGUAACGGCGCACCAAGGCGAUGAUCUUUAGGGGGCCUGAGAGGGUGAUCCCACACACUGGUACUGAGACACGGACCAGACUCCUACGGAAGGCAGCAGUGAGGAAUAUUGGUCAAUGGGUGCAAGCCUGAACCAGCCAUCCCGCGUGAAGGACGACUGCCCUAUGGGUUGUAAACUUCUUUUGUAUAGGGAUAAACCUACCCUCGUGAGGGUAGCUGAAGGUACUAUACGAAUAAGCACCGGCUAACUCCGUGCCAGCCGCCGCCGUAA
rnacentral:rRNA from 1 species